GUGCGCGCGGCCGGCUCCACCCCCACCGGAGAAGGCCACGUGUGACUAACGGUUUGUCUUAGUAUGAAGGAACAAAUUUUGCAUGGACGUCAGAGGCCUUGGGAUCUGUUGAUUCGUCAAUGCUACAUUUUUUGAGGUCAACAUAAAACAUAAAAGAGGUGAUUUUGGCUAAUCAAAUCAAACCGGCCCAGAUUUAGACGGGCCAGGUUUCUUAAAGUAUAUUAGGCUUAAUUGGUGGUUGUAUUUAAUCAUUGAGCUAAAUUAGAUUAUUUUGGUUGGUUUAUAGUUCUAUAACUCUAUUUCUCUUUAGUAACAGGAAAGGAGACGUUGCUGUGAAAAUGUAAUAUUCUUGAGGAUCAUAAAUUUUUUGUUUCAAGCGCUUUCCUGUUGACUGGCAAAACCGAUGAACGAAGUGGGAAGCCUGACUUAGGUAUGUUCCAUUGAGCUUUUUGAGAACUUACUGCUUGAAAUCACUCCGUAAACUGCUUAGUAACUUUAUGGUAUCGGUAAGCAUCACAGUGCUAAUGCCAAAAUAUGUACUUCAAGUUCAAGUACCAGUUGUUUGAUAGAGAUACAUGAUACUCAUCAUUCCAGACAAAUAAGACAUGAUACAAAGCAGUAUUACAGACGUAUUCUUAGAUACUGGAAGUGCAGAACAAACGUGCCUCUUCUGUCCAUCAGGUUCUGAUGUAAGGGAUAUACUGUUUAUUUCACAUGGACGGAAACAAGGUUCUUGAAAAAAAUUGGUGCAAUAGACAGAAGACAGAGCCUUGCAUUACAAUGCUAAUGCCAUUCGCUUCCUGAGAGAAUUCCCUUUUAUCAGUUUGGAAGGAUUGAAUUUACCUUCAGUAACAUCUCAACUUCUCCAUUCGUGAGAGUCAUACGAGCUUUUGAGUCGAUGUUCAUUAUGGCCUGCCAAGCAUCUUCGAUGUCGUCUUUUAGCUUCGUCAAAUUCCAUUAGUUAAUGAAACCUGCAGAACAUCAUAACUGUCAAGAUGUUAAUUCCCCCUUUAUCCUUGCCAAGUUUCAUUCAUAGUAUCUAAUUUCCCCGGAG
rnacentral:lncRNA from 1 species